rnacentral:rRNA from 1 species
GUUUCAGCAAUGGAACGAUCAGUGGCGCACGGGUGCGUAACGCGUAUGCAACCUACCUUAAACUGGGGGAUAGCCUUCCGAAAGGGAGAUUAAUACCGCAUAAGAUCACGAGAGGGCAUCUGAUUGUGAUUAAAGAUUUAUUGGUUUAAGAUGGGCAUGCGUGCCAUUAGCUAGUUGGUAGGGUAAUGGCCUACCAAGGCUACGAUGGCUAGGGGUUCUGAGAGGAUGAUCCCCCACACUGGUACUGAGAUACGGACCAGACUCCUACGGGAGGCAGCAGUAGGGAAUAUUGGGCAAUGGACGGAAGUCUGACCCAGCCAUGCCGCGUGCAGGAAGAAGGCCUUCUGGG